rnacentral:sRNA from 1 species
AGAUAAAUGACACGCCGUGUACGUACAGC